rnacentral:rRNA from 1 species
GUCUUGUAAUUGGAAUGAUGGUGACCUAAACCCUCACCAGAGUAACAAUUGGAGGGCAAGUCUGGUGCCAGCAGCCGCGGUAAUUCCAGCUCCAAUAGCGUAUAUUAAACUUGUUGCAGUUAAAAAGCUCGUAGUUGAAUUUCUGCGUUAUCGAGUUAUUGACUCUUGUCUUUAAUCGAUUUCGCUUUUGGGAUUUAUCCCUUUUUACUUUGAGAAAAUUAGAGUGUUUCAAGCAGACUUUUGUCUUGAAUACUUCAGCAUGGAAUAAUAGAGUAGGACUUUGGUUCUAUUUUGUUGGUUUUUGAACCUUAGUAAUGGUUAAUAGGAACGGUUGGGGGCAUUCGUAUUUAACUGUCAGAGGUGAAAUUCUUAGAUUUGUUAAAGACGAACUACUGCGAAAGCAUUUGCCAAGGACGUUUCCAUUAAUCAAGAACGAAAGUUAGGGGAUCGAAGACGAUCAGAUACCGUCGUAGUC